rnacentral:sRNA from 1 species
CUUCAUCUUUGCGAAUUUAACCGAUUCGUGGCAAAUAAGCUCUUCACGUGAUCAGCUAAAACUGACAUAUAAUCCGUUUUCUUUCGAGCUUAUUCUUGGCCUGGUCAGUGUGACCUUGCAAAGUGGUUUUCAAUACUGUAAAAUACUAAUUAAAAGGGUUUUGAAACAACAUAAGCAAUAA